UACGGGGGGGGCAAGCGUUGUUCGGAAUUACUGGGCGUAAAGGGCUCGUAGGCGGCCAACUAAGUCCGACGUGAAAUCCCAAGGCUUAACCUUGGAACUGCGUCGGAUACUGAAUGGCUUGAAUUCGGGAGAGGGAUGCAGAAUUCCAGGUGUAGCGGUGAAAUGCGUAGAUAUCUGGAGGAAUACCGGUGGCGAAGGCGGCAUCCUGGACCGACAUUGACGCUGAGGAGCGAAAGCUAGGGGAGCAAACGGG
rnacentral:rRNA from 1 species